GAUGAACGCUGGCGGCGUGCCUAAUACAUGCAAGUCGAGCGAACGGACGAGAAGCUUGCUUCUCUGAUGUUAGCGGCGGACGGGUGAGUAACACGUGGAUAACCUACCUAUAAGACUGGGAUAACUUCGGGAAACCGGAGCUAAUACCGGAUAAUAUUUUGAACCGCAUGGUUCAAAAGUGAAAGACGGUCUUGCUGUCACUUAUAGAUGGAUCCGCGCUGCAUUAGCUAGUUGGUAAGGUAACGGCUUACCAAGGCAACGAUGCAUAGCCGACCUGAGAGGGUGGACGGCCACACUGGAAAUGAGGCACGGUCCAGACUCCUACGGGGGGGAGGAGGAGGGGAUCUUCCGCAAUGGGCGAAAGCCUGACGGAGCAACGCCGGGUGAGUGAUGAAGGUCUUCGGAUCGUAAAACUCUGUUAUUAGGGAAAAACAAAUGUGUAAGUAACUAUGCACGUCUUGACGGUACCUAAUCAGAAAGCCCCGGCUAAAUACGUG
rnacentral:rRNA from 1 species